rnacentral:rRNA from 1 species
UAUAAAUGUAAAUUUUAAAACUAGAUUAGUAAUAGUUAAUUUCUUUAAAAUUAAAAAUUUUGGCGGUAUUUUAAUCUUUUUAGAGGAACCUGUUUUUUAAUUGAUAAUCCACGAUUAAAAUAACUUUAAUUUUAAAUUUAUAUAUCAUCGUUUAUAAAUAUUUUAAAAGAAUUAAUAUUUGAGAUUUUUAAUUAAAAAUUAAAUCAGAUCAAGGUGUAGUUUAUAUUAAAGUAAAUAAUGGGUUACAAUAAAUUUAUUUAUGGAUUUUAAAUUGUAAUAUUUAAAUUAAAUUGGAUUUAAUAGUAAAUUAAAUUAAUUAAUUUAAUUGAUUUAAGUUCUAAAAUAUGU